rnacentral:miRNA from 1 species
AUGGGGCAGGAGGUCACAGCA